rfam:Emticicia oligotrophica DSM 17448, complete genome.
AGAAGAGUUAUGAAAGGGCGUACGGAGGAUGCCUAGGGUCUCAGAGGCGAAGAAGGACGUGAUAAGCUGCGAUAAGCUGCGGGGAUUGGCACAUACAAGUUAAUCCGCAGAUUUCCGAAUGGGGCAACCCGGUGACUUGAAGAGUCAUCACCAUCCAAGAUGGAGCUAACCCGGUGAACUGAAACAUCUAAGUAACCGGAGGAACAAAAAACAACAGUGAUUCCGCAAGUAGUGGCGAGCGAACGCGGAGAAGCCCAAACCUAUUUUGUUACGGCAAAGUAGGGGUUAUAGGACUGCAUUUAGAAUAUUAGAUUAAGCUGAACAGGUUGGGAAGCCUGGCGAAACAGUGUGAUAGCCACGUAAGCGUAAGAUUUAAUGGACGAGCAGUAUCCUGAGUAGGUGGGGACCAGUGGAAUCCCCUCUGAAUUCGGCAGUACCAUCUGCCAAGGCUAAAUACUCCUGAGACACCGAUAGUGAACUAGUACUGUGAAGGAAAGGUGAAAAGCACCGAGAGUAUCGGAGUGAAAAGAACCUGAAACCGUACGCUUACAAGCGGUCGGAGCUGGCAAGUCCAGUGACGGCGUGCCUUUUGCAUAAUGACCCUACGAGUUACCGUCCCCGGCAAGAUUAAGCUAUUAAGUAGUGUAGUCGAAGCGAAAGCAAGUCUGAAUAGGGCGAAUAGUCGGUGGCGGUAGACGCGAAACCUUGUGAUCUACCCAUGGUCAGGAUGAAGUGUUGGUAACACAACAUGGAGGUCCGAACCAGUUAACGUUGAAAAGUUUUUGGAUGAACUGUGGGUAGGGGUGAAAGGCUAAUCAAACUGGGAAAUAGCUCGUACUCUCCGAAAUGUAUUUAGGUACAGCGUCAAGGUUGAGUUAUAUCGAGGUAGAGCUACUGAUAGGAUGCGGGGGAGUCAAAUCCUACCAAAUUCUGACAAACUCCGAAUGCGGUAUAAUAUACUUGGCAGUGAGGGCUUGGGUGCUAAGGUCCAAGUCCGAAAGGGAAAGAACCCAGAACUACAGCUAAGGUCUCUAAAUCUAUACUAAGUUGAACUAAGGAAGUCUGACUGCAGUGACAGCCAGGAUGUUUGCUUGGAAGCAGCAAUCAUUUAAAGAGUGCGUAACAGCUCACUGGUCGAGCGGGGCGGGCAUCGAUAAUAAACGGGCAUCAAGUAUAGUACCGAAGCUUAGUCAAGGCGUAAGUCUUGGGUAGGAGAGCAUUCUAUAUGCGGCGAAUGUGUACUGCGAGGUAUGCUGGAGCGUAUAGAAAAGCAAAUGUAGGGAUAAGUAGCGAUAAUGUAUGUGAGAACCAUACACACCGAAAGACUAAGGAUUCCUCAGCUACGUCAAUCAACUGAGGGUUAGUCGGGUCCUAAGGAUAAUGCGAAAGCAGAAGCCGAUGGCAAGCAGGUUAAUAUUCCUGCACUGGUGAUGGUGCGAUGCGGGGACGGAGUGAGGAGAUUUAUACGUUCUGACGGAAUAGAGCGUUGAGAGGAGGCUUAGGCUGAAUCGAAUGAGUCGAAUUGCUUCCAAGAAAAGCCGCUAAGCUUCAGCCAUUAACCACCCGUACCGUAAACCGACACAGGUAGUCGAGGCGAGAAGCCUAAGGUGCUCGAGUGAGUCACAGCUAAGGAACUCGGCAAAUUAACCCUGUAACUUCGGGAGAAGGGGAGCCUACGCAAGUAGGCCGCAGAGAAAUGGCCCAGGCGACUGUUUAACAAAAACACAUGGCUUUGCUAAGUUUAAUGACGAAGUAUAAGGCCUGACACCUGCCCGGUGCUGGAAGGUUAAGAGGGGAUGUCAUCGCAAGAGAAGCAUUGAAUCGAAGCCCCAGUAAACGGCGGCCGUAACUAUAACGGUCCUAAGGUAGCGAAAUUCCUUGUCGGGUAAGUUCCGACCUGCACGAAUGGUGUAACGAUCUGGGCACUGUCUCAGCUGUGAGCUCGGCGAAAUUGUAGUAGCGGUGAAGAUGCCGCUUACCCGCCACGGGACGGAAAGACCCCGUGAACCUUUACUAUAGCUUAGCGUUGAAUUCGGGUAACUGAUGUGUAGGAUAGGUGGGAGGCUGUGAAUGGGCGUCGCUAGGCGUUCAGGAGCCAACGUUGAAAUACCACCCUUUGGUUAUUUGGAUUCUAACUUGUCAAAGACGAGGACACCGCUUGGUGGGUAGUUUGACUGGGGUGGUCGCCUCCAAAAGAGUAACGGAGGCUUCCAAAGGUGACCUCAGCACGCUUGGUAACCGUGCGUUGAGUGCAAUAGCAUAAGGUCGCUUGACAGUGAGACAUACAAGUCGAGCUGGAUGGAAACAUGGGUAUAGUGAUCCGGCGGUUCUGUAUGGAAGGGCCGUCGCUCAAAGGAUAAAAGGUACUCCGGGGAUAACAGGCUGAUCUCCCCCAAGAGCUCACAUCGACGGGGAGGUUUGGCACCUCGAUGUCGGCUCGUCACAUCCUGGGGCUGGAGAAGGUCCCAAGGGUUCGGCUGUUCGCCGAUUAAAGUGGCACGCGAGCUGGGUUCAGAACGUCGUGAGACAGUUCGGUCCCUAUCUGUGGUGGGCGUAGGAAGAUUGAGAGGUUCUGACUUUAGUACGAGAGGACCGAGUUGGACGUACCGCUGGUGCAUCUGUUGUCCUGCCAAGGGCACGGCAGAGUAGCCAAGUACGGACGGGAUAAACGCUGAAAGCAUCUAAGUGUGAAACCCACCUCAAGAUGAGUCUUCCAUUGAGAUACGUUAUAGACUAUGACGUUGAUAGGUUGCAGGUGUAGAAGUGGUAACACUAAGCCGAGCAAUACUAAUGAAUCGAGGACUCUUUUAU